UGUUAUUGUGCUUAUUUCGUUCUUUUCAAACAAGAUUAUAUAUGAAGAGAUUAUUCAAGAUGUUCUAGACUCUAGAGCCUGCCAAAGAUUGGGAUAGUCCUAACUCAGUUAGGUCAACAUGGUGGCCAGGAUUACAGUAUUAACAACAAGGAUAUGGAGGACUUGCCAAAACUAAAGGAGUUCCAACUGAGUUUGAAUCAUGUGGUCAAGAGAACAGUUAUAGACAGCAAGGAUAUGGAGGGUUUGAAGAGUAUGGAGACUACCACAGAUGGGGAGGAUCCCCAACUAAUUUGGACAACAUGGUGGAUCAGAGCACAGUGCAGGUAGCAAGGAUACAGAAGACUUGG